rnacentral:rRNA from 1 species
UACGUAGGGGGCAAGCGUUGUCCGGAAUCAUUGGGCGUAAAGAGCGCGUAGGCGGCCCUGUAAGUCCGCUGUGAAAGUCAAGGGCUCAACCCUUGGAUGCCGGUGGAUACUGCAGGGCUAGAGUCCGGAAGAGGCGAGUGGAAUUCCUGGUGUAGCGGUGGAAUGCGCAGAUAUCAGGAGGAACACCAAUGGCGAAGGCAGCUCUCUGGUACAUGACUGACGCUGAGACGCGAAAGCGUGGGUAGCAAACAGG